AGCAGCCGCGGUAAUUCCAGCUCCAAUAGCGUAUAUUAAAGUUGUUGCAGUUAAAAAGCUCGUAGUUGAAUUUUGGAUUCUGCCAAUUGGUCCAUCUUUUAGAUGAGUACUGGUUGUGUGGGGUCUAUCCGCCUGGUGAUACGUAAUGUCCUUUAUUGGAUGUUGCGGGUAGUCAGGACCUUUACCUUGAAAAAAUUAGAGUGUUUAAAGCAGGCUUAUGCCGGAAUACAUUAGCAUGGAAUAAUAGAAUAGGACGAAGUUGUUUUAUUUUGUUGGUUUCUAGGACAACCGUAAUGAUUAAUAGGGAUAGUUGGGGGCAUUAGUAUUCAAUUGUCAGAGGUGAAAUUCUUGGAUUUAUUGAAGACUAACUACUGCGAAAGCAUUUGCCAAGGAUGUUUUCAUUAAUCAAGAACGAAAGUUUGGGGAUCGAAGNCGAUCAGAUACCGUCGUAGUCUUAACCAUAAACUAUGCCGACUAGGGAUCGGGCGAUGUUGUUUCCAUGACUCGCUCGGCACCUUAU
rnacentral:misc_RNA from 1 species